GAGUGCCACAGUGCAGCUGACAAAACCUGGGCUUGCACCUCUGCUUAUAGCUUAGUUGGCAAAAUCAGGAAGCACAAAACUACUGAGCUCCAAGACUUUUGAUGGGAAAAAAGCUUUCUCUGCUGGUUUCCCCAAAGACAGAUGGGAAUUUCAUCAAGAGAAAGCCUGCCACCUGAGGAGCGGGACAGAAGGAAGAGCUGGGACUGUUAAUGAAAUGGACCCACGCUCCUGGAUUCCUGCUGUGUCGCAGGCAGCGUGCAGUGCAGGAGGCUGCUCAUGUGCACCCUUGAAACCUCAGUGCCUUGCGUGCCACUGCUGCAAUCAACCAGUCUUCAAGGCAAUCAGGACCUUAGACUAACCACUCAGCUCAAUUAUAUUACAUGGCUGAUCCUUCCCCAAGGUGUAAGAAAAUUCCUACAAUGUAAACAUCUUAGGAUUCCCAUUUUCAAUGGUAUGCGAGAGGCCAGCUUUUCUGCUGAGGGACAAUGAAUCAAAACUGUAAUGUAAAUACGAAUGUUGGUUCAUUUGUAAAAAUCCUAGAAGAAAACAGACAAGGAUCGUGACUGAGCAGAAGUUUUGAGUAUCCCCCAGAGGGAGGAAUGAAAGUGUUUCCAUUACAGAAGAAGAUCACAGCAGAGAGAAAACAGAAUCCCUGAAGUGGCACUGCGUGUACUAGGCACAACCCCAGCAUGCUGGAAUAAUACACUCACCUUGUCCACAAUGCAGAUCUGCUUCUUGCUUUGCACAUCAAGGAUUUCCACUUCAAAACAUCCGCAACAGACCUGAGAGAAAUAAACACAGCCAACAGACAGGUACAGGUACGGUAAUCCUAUCUGCAAGAAGUACAAAGUGAAACCUCCACCCCCAGCCCCUUGCACACAAACAACACACCUACUUCCCUACCAAAAUAUGCAGAGCGUGAUGCAGAGCUCAAAUCUGAUGGCAGUCAGGAUAUACUGGAAAAGACAGCUGUUGGGCUGCAGUGAUGGAGCAGCCUAAGGAGAUGCUCCAGGGUCUCACAGCAGACUUUGGGCACUGUAAUGUGCAGUUGCUCCCUUAAGGAAAGCCACUGGCUUGGCUUCUGUAACUCAGUGCUGUGAUGAGCUCCCCGCCAGUCUCUGCACCCCAACAGCAAAGCAAGCAACAAAGCAGCACCUACAUUGAUGAGAGUCCUCAGAGCAUGGACAGGCAGCAAGUUUCCCUGCAUUUCGUUGCAGUUUCAAGCUAUCGUGCCACUUCACGGACUGAAUAGAGAAGACUGAGUGGAUUAGCGUAGGACAGGUGCUGAUACCCUGUACUUUGCAGCAGUGUAAGCUUACUUCAUGUCCUCACUUAAUUUCAACUGAGUAUAUUACUGACAGCAUUUUUUAAAUCCCCCUCGGAGAACACAUCCUGACUGGAUAAUGGAUUGUAAUUUCACAGGUCUCUUCUGCCUACACAGCUACAGCACCCGCCCCCCAGCUUAGUGCUCUUCUUGUUGCAUACACAUCGGAUGUAGAAAGAUGUUUCUCCUGAGAUCAGACCGCUUUCCUGGCAGGGCUAGGGCCCGGUCCAGCAUGGAAAGCAUCGUUCAGACUGUUCUGCUGGCAGCAGAAGUAGGUGACAAGAGCCCAGGCGUUGCUUGCAAUUUGGCAGCAUCACCCUUCAAAGGUUACCACCUCAUCAAUCCUGCCAUCUUCACAGCACCUGGGGCCACCACGUAACCUGAAAUAAAGCCUGCUGAGACACCCGCCUCCCCUACGCAUGGUACAAUGCUGAAUGCCCCUCCACGACCUGCCUGUAUGAGCUCCAAGCCUCCCUCAGUGCCACUGCUAAUCACCAGGCAGAAGGGCAGACACAAACAAGCGUGCCUUGUGGUCUUACGCCACACAGCAUCCUGGAACUUGGAAGUUGAACGUGGAAGUUGAGAAGAACAGGGCUUUAAACUUGAGCUCCAUGUGAAAACAUACUGUUAGCUUCAGAAAUGCUUCUGUGGCUUCUCGUGAAACACCUGUGUUCAUAGUGAGAAAGCAUUUUCCACCUGUUUUUCUACUGCUGACACAUAUCUGUUUAUUCACGCUUUUCUUUAUCACAAAUGAUGUUUGCACAGAAGCAUUUUAAAGCCCCCAAAAAUGCUGCCUGUACAGCAGAGUUGGCAGGGAAGAAUGCACUAAUUUGUGUGAAACUAACGAUGCACAGACUUCCCUCGUCCUUUAGCAAAUCAGGAAGGAGAGAGGCUUGCUGUUUGUAUUAGUUAGUGUGUGACAACUCAGCAGUAAGUACUUUGGCUCUGAGGACAAGCAAAGCUAAAGCAGACGGUUGCCGCAGCAGACUUUAAAACCUUGACAGGAGCCGAUAUGUGAGCUUGGUCUGCCAGAAGACAGCACUUGUUGCUUGACACGUUAGGACAACAGUGUGUCACUCAACACCUCUGGAGUCCGAGGUUCAGUUUAACAGCUCCUAGUAAGGAAUGGCUGGGGCCAGCUUGCAAGCAGUUGCAGGACAGCUACCGUGUGGUUACAUCCAGCUGUCAGAAUUAUCUUUGCUUUUUUUUUUAAAAAAAAAAAAAGGGGAAGAAGAAAAAAAUAGCCGAAUGUGCUGUUAGGUUGACAACUGUCUCUAUAAGGCACUCUUGCAAUUUCCAUAACCGUUCUGGGGACAGGGUCAUACAGACAGAUGUGACAAGGAGAGCUGUGGCAUUUAACAGCCUGGGAAACAACACGGGCAGAUUACCUGUAAGCUGUCAGCAUGCUUUGUCAGGCCUUUCUGCUGCAGAAAGCAACUCAGUUCAAACAAACACCUUCAAAAAUGCUCCAAAAUACAUCCCCUGGGUAGAAACAAUACACCCUACUGUGUGGAGUACUCUGAAUGGCUGAAGAUGCUGCUUGUAUGUAAAGGGAACAUGAGGGAGGAUUUAGCAUCACAUGUGCAAUCUUCUAGGACUAGAAAUCUGCCAGUGGAAAGGGAAAAUCAACAGCUGCCUAGUGGAGCCUGAUGCAGUUACUGUUAGUUCUACAAGCUGGUGAGAUACAGCAUUUGUUUGCAACAAGGAAGCUCUCCAAGCACCCUGGCUCACCUCUGCCAUCUUGCAAUGGGAGACCAAAAUGCCCACAUUUGGAAGGACGUCCGCCCUUCAGCCCACUUGCUAGAGCUGCAGACAACCACAGGCAUUACUGCCACACAAAAGGCCGUGCUCCAAUUUGCUUUCCGCUGUGACUUUCCACGGAGAGCAAACCACGUACGAGCACCGCAGAUGCUGUGUGAGAGCCCACCCGCUUUAGCAGUCUUUGUGCCAGAGCUCUUGGCACUCUGUCAGCCCCGAGAGGAACUGGCUGUGCCUGCAAGUCUCUUUACAGAUAAAGAACCUGCUUUGCUGAUGCUGCUGUCAAUAAAAAGGAAUUGGGGGCUUCAUUCUAUUCUCCAAAAGCUGAUUUUGCAUGCACAAGCACAACAGCAAAGAACAGACACUGAAAAUAACUAGUAAAGGGACAUGAUCACAGUCUGCUUUCUUUUUUUCUUUUUCUUUGCAGAUUUAGCUGGUACAGAGCUCCCAGCUUCAAGGUGAGCUGUUGGUGUAUACAGUUUUAGUAAUAAAAAAUGGCCUCGGGUUUCUAACAAGCAUUUGGAUUCACAGCAUUUACAGCAAAGCGGACUGACCCCUGGUGUAUGAAUUUGGUUCAGCUAAGCGUGGGACUACCUAACUAGAGGGAACCACAAGCUCAGCCUCAAAAUAUUUCUUUCAGAGGACUUCCUUGGCAGACUAACACCAAUUUAAAAUUAAACACUUGGUUCUUCAGCCAGAAUAAAAAUAAGAAUUUAAUGAAUAGGGCCAAAAAAAAAAAAAAAGUUUCUCUCAAAGUUUCUCCCAGAAAACAUUUCUGUUUUCAGCUAGCUGUAGCACUGGAAUAAUAAGAGGUGUGCUCAAGGGUAAAAAAGGACCUGUGUCCAAAGAGGAAAAUAGCAGCAUUCUUGUAUCUUCCUUUGGCACAGCCUACCAGUACGCACUGAUGACGUUAUCAUUUUUGUUCUUACACGAUAACUAGUGCACCACACCUUUUUAAAACACUCCUAAACAAAGGGAGAGGUUCUUUUACGAAGAGUAGAGGAGGCCCCCGGAAUCCUACAGACAAACCCAGCACGUCCUGUGUUGUAGGGGAAUAUCACCAGCAGGAUGCUGCACAGACUUGCCAGCCCCUCGGGUCAGGAGACAAGCUGGGCUCCUCAGGCCCAAGUAUGAAGUCAGCACCGCUGAGAUGCUGAUGAAGAAAGAGUCAGGCAUCUUCCCCAGCAAAAUAUUUAGCAGUUGCUUUAAUAAUGUGCUGUGUAUCACUACGGGGCAAGUUCUGAGCCAAAAGUUGAUCGGUUCCUACUUGAUAAUCUUUAGACUUCGUGAGACAAAGUUUUCAGGUUUGAUAGUUUCUCACAUGGAACUACUUUUUAUAGCUGUCUGUUGAGAAAUGCUAUGCAAGAAGGCAAAAUCUUCAGCAGCAGCAUGUGCCUCAUUUUCAAUAGCUCUGUCAGCUUGGUCCCAGAGAAGCUGAAGUACAGUUUACAUCUCUCCCUUCUGAAAUCGAACAACGGAUAGCAACAAUACGGGACAAUAUAAAAGUGCCAGUAAAGCAUCUGUAGCUACUU